GGCCGAAGGUUUCCUCCUGAGUCAGGCAGAGGAGAGGAAGCAGGGAAAGGAUCCGUUUGCUGAAAUGGGUCCUGAUUUCUCUGAAGUAGAGAAGUCUCUGUUGGACACCAGAGAUAAGCCACUGGGUAAGAAGGAAGGAGUAUUUUCUCAGUUUGGUCCCAUUCUGUUGGUGUUGAAAAUAAUCUGGUGGUUCUUUUGAUCUUUUUGGGGAAGACACUUGAGGCCCUGAGCCCAGAGGAGCCUGAUAUAUAAUUUUGCACAAUUAAAUAUGAAAUAGGUACAGGGGAGUAUUUCUUAAUCUGUAGUUAGAGAUGCACUGCUUCAGCUCUGAGAGAAGCAUCCUGCACUCCUGUCUCCCCACUUCCCUUUGUCUCUCGCAGGUGAAAGAAGGAUGCCGGCAAGACCUCCUCCUCCAUCUCUUCAUCCUGGUGGAGGGGAAGCAGCGGCUGAGGAACCGGAUCAGGUGCGGGGAAGGAGCCAUGGGGGGAAAGGGGCUGAGGGUGAGGGACAGAGGGCAUUUCUGAGACGGAACAAAUCUCUCCCCUCCUCAUUGCUUCUGUCAAAGCUGCCCUUAACAAAGGCUGAAAAUGCCAUUAAUGAAGGUUUAUGCUCCGAGUAGCCCCUUCACCUUAACUCUGAAUGUCGCUAGUAUUAUUCGUUAUAAAUUCUCUUUGAGACAUCUGGGGAGUCUUUCCAUCCCAGAACAACACACAGGGAGAGGAGAGAGGGAUUCUUCCAUUUGGCAAACUGGAAUGCUUGCAUAGACAUAUUGAUCUGAAUAAAACAACAUGGAGUUCAUUAAAAUAAGCACCAGUAAUCCAAAUGUGCAACAGACCAAUCCAAUUAAAACAACCCAGGCAGGAAGCAAAAGAGCAACGUGCAGGAAAUAAUCUUUAUGCUGCCUAAGAGAAGGAUAUUUUACUUUCAGAGCUCAGUUUCUUUUGAAGAUGUCGCUGUUUGUUUCACGGCUGAGGAGUGGGCGUUGCUGGAUCCUGCCCAGAGAGCUCUGCAUAAGGAAGUCAUGGAGGAGACUUGGAGGACCAUGAUCUCUCUGGAUGGUGAUGAAUUAGAAAUUAAGAAUAAGGGACAACAGGACAAAAUCCACACAGUGGAGAAGCCAUAUCAAGAUUUGGAGUGUGGGGAGAACUUCAGUCAGAGCUCCCAUGCCACUU